rnacentral:lncRNA from 1 species
UACACAACCCACCAGGUAUUUGGAGCCCAUGAAUAAUGUGCUUCUUCUUUGUCUGUAGAAUUGUUCUUGGCUGGAAGGACAUGCAGAGGAAGUGGUGAGUGGUCACAUCCCUGCCUGGAAGAAACCCUAAGAAGUGCCUGAACUGUACCUUUUUGUUUGCUCCUCUGCCCUGCAGAGUGCCCAGUUUGGUAAGGUGUCCUGUGAGAACCUGAAGUGUGAAGGAGCUGAAAGUUUUGGAGAGAAACUUUGGAUGCUGGUGGAUCGGUGAGAAAAAGCACUUAUUUUACCCCUGACCUGAGCACUGAAGAGAUACCCUCUCACCACUGUUGCAAAUUCAUGCUUCCAAGAACUGGUGAGUUGAAGAACUUAUCCAUUGUGUCUCCAUUAAAGAAGAUAUAUUGUAAAACAUAACU